rnacentral:lncRNA from 1 species
UCGCACGUUAUAUUGCGUGGAAAUCGGAUCAGAUUUGUCAUAUCCAUCCUCGCGUUGGACAGCAAGAGCAGGUGAACAUAUCUUCCUCAAUUCUCCGACUCGGCGCCAGCAAGUACGGAGAUCAUCGAGGAGGGUCGGUGUGGACCGUGGAGGCGCUUUUGUUCAUCUAAAUACACGUCGAAGGUAUGUAGGGCAUGACUGAAUCCGUUUGCGUGUGGCUUAUCUAGUUUAGUAGUUUUGAUUGAUCCAAUCUCUUGGAAGUAUGUACUCGUUCUGAAAUAAUUUGAGGUCGAUGCAGGUCUGCUGUGAUGGAGCGUAUGCUGCCGAGAAAUUAGGAUCAGGAUGGCACAGGGCAGAUCGCGGCAAACCGAUCCAGUAUCCUGCCGCGGCAGCGGUGCUGCGACAAGUGCGGGUUGCCUGGGCAUGCACAACCGUGUCACCUGUGGCCGUGCGGCGGCAUGAUUCCGGCUGCCAACAAUGAUCUGCCGGAACUGUGGUCAACGGGGCGGGGCUACUGCUAACUCCACUGUCCCAAUGCAUCGCCGGGGAGGAACACGACACAAAAGCAACUCCUGCAGAUGGUUUAACUAUUUUGUGAUGGUUUGCCACUUGCAAAGUCUCUGUUUGUUUCCGGCUAUGUUGCAGACAAAUUUCCUCCAUGUGUUGAGUUUUUUUUCGUUUCAUGUGGUUAUGCAGUGAUGUUAACAAAGACAAGGAGCAUCAACGGGUAGAAAGGUACGAGCACAUACUCGUGGCAGGUUUUGCAAGUGGCACGAGCUAAAGCAGGCAUCGGAGAAAUUUUGCAGUACAACUCUGUGGAUCGGAGUAGUUGCAGGAUCAUUAGUAUGGAGCUUGUGAACUCCGCAAUUAGGUUUUAGGUUGAGUUUAAUUUCCUUUGCUUCCAGAUUUUAUUUUUAAUUAGUUUAGUUGGAGUAUGUGCACUCUGAUCACUAUGCCAGUUACAUUCAAAGUUAGUAUCUCUUUCGGUUUUUGGUUGAUCAAAAUUGAGUAUGGAUGCUAUCAUGAUGGUUUUUUCCAGUAAAUUUGUAACGAGGUUGAGAAUUAUUACGUCAAAGUUAUGUUACAA